rnacentral:rRNA from 1 species
AACGAACGCUGGCGGCAUGCCUAACACAUGCAAGUCGAACGAGACCUUCGGGUCUAGUGGCGCACGGGUGCGUAACGCGUGGGAAUCUGCCCUUGGGUUCGGAAUAACAGUUGGAAACGACUGCUAAUACCGGAUGAUGACGUAAGUCCAAAGAUUUAUCGCCCAGGGAUGAGCCCGCGUAGGAUUAGCUAGUUGGUGGGGUAAAGGCCUACCAAGGCGACGAUCCUUAGCUGGUCUGAGAGGAUGAUCAGCCACACUGGGACUGAGACACGGCCCAGACUCCUACGGGACGCAGCAGUGGGGAAUAUUGGACAAUGGGGGAAAGCCUGAUCCAGCAAUGCCGCGUGAGUGAUGAAGGCCUUAGGGUUGUAAAGCUCUUUUACCCGGGAUGAUAAUGACAGUACCGGGAGAAUAAGCCCCGGCUAACUCCGUG